rnacentral:rRNA from 1 species
UGGGGAAUAUUGGACAAUGGGGGCAACCCUGAUCCAGCGAUGCCGCGUGUGUGAAGAAGGCCUGCGGGUUGUAAAGCACUUUUGUUAGGGGCGAAGUGUGGUUGUUUAAGAGAUGGCUACAUUGACAGUACCUAAAGAAUAAGCACCGGCUAACUCUGUGCCAGCAGCCGCGGUAAUACAGAGGGUGCAAGCGUUAAUCGGAGUAACUGGGCGUAAAGGGCGAGUAGGCGGGUUUAUACGUUAGAUGUGAAAUACACGGGCUCAACCUGUGAGGGUCAUCUAAAACGGUAAGUCUAGAGUACAGUAGAGGGGAGUGGAAUUUCCGGAGGAGCGGUGAAAUGCGUAGAUCUCGGAAGGAACACCGGUGGCGAAGGCGACUCCCUGGGCUGUAACUGACGCU